rnacentral:rRNA from 1 species
AUUGAACGCUGGCGGCAUGCCUUACACAUGCAAGUCGAACGGCAGCACGGGUGCUUGCACCUGGUGGCGAGUGGCGAACGGGUGAGUAAUACAUCGGAACAUGUCCUGUAGUGGGGGAUAGCCCGGCGAAAGCCGGAUUAAUACCGCAUACGAUCUACGGAUGAAAGCGGGGGACCUUCGGGCCUCGCGCUAUAGGGUUGGCCGAUGGCUGAUUAGCUAGUUGGUGGGGUAAAGGCCUACCAAGGCGACGAUCAGUAGCUGGUCUGAGAGGACGACCAGCCACACUGGGACUGAGACACGGCCCAGACUCCUACGGGAGGCAGCAGUGGGGAAUUUUGGACAAUGGGCGAAAGCCUGAUCCAGCAAUGCCGCGUGUGUGAAGAAGGCCUUCGGAUUGUAAAGCACGUUUGUCCGGAAAGAAAUCCUUGGCCCUAAUACGGUCGGGGGAUGACGGUACCGGAAGAAUAAGCACCGGCUAACUACGUG